CUUACUGUGAUCUUCAUCCUCACCUUCAGCGUCUGCAGACACACUCAGGAUGGUUUCUUUAAGUUUCAGCAACCUUAGAUGUCCCCAUAAUUCUUUUCAUCUCCAACAAAGCCUGCUCAAUCGGUUUCCUGCAUCCCUCCUGGGCCCAUAACCUGUUGCCAUUUUGAUUAUUAGGGUAGGAAAACCGGGUAUAUAAGAAUAACCUUAUAUAAAAUGGAGGGGGGUACUUCUUGCUUCUGUGUCUUUAUUGUAACUAACUCAACUUCUGCUUCCGGUUUCAGGAGGAAAAGGAGGAGUAACAACAAACUUUAUUUACACUCCUCAUAACCAUGCAAUGUAAG